AUUGCAUUCUACUUUCAAUCUUCCAACAAUCUUAAAAUUCUUGUUAUUUUUAAAAGCCUUUUCUUUAUAAGAUAUGCAUCCGUCAAAUGUAUACGUACAUCCUGGUCCAGUAGAGCAUGAUGUAUUAAAAAUUCAAGUUCACCAUCGUUCCGAAGGAAUUUGGAAUGGUAGCAUAAAAGAAGAGAGGUCUUGCUUAUAUACGCGUCGUGGUGAUAUUGAAUUUUGGCAACAUAUAAAAUAUCAUCCAUUACAUUCUCGCAUCCUUCAAUAUUUUGAAAAUUGUAGAUUUAAAGGAAUUCUUGAUGUAGGAUGUGUGCCGUAUGACUCCGGAUUAAUUUCUGCUUUAAUUGAAAGGUGGCGUCCAGAAACUCAUACUUUUCACAUGCGAACUGGCGAGACUACCAUAACUUUACAAGAUAUUGAAAUUUUAUUCGGAAUGGUAGUAGAUGGUAGUCGUAUAAUUUUAAAUGGAGCUGAUUCUUUAGGGAUUAUAGGUAGACAAGAAAUGAUAUUUGAAUUAACAGGAUGGUUACCCGAUACUAGUUGUUUUUCUGGUGUUAGUAGAUUGUUAACAUAUAAAUUGAUUGAUUAUAUCGAAGGUUUGGAUGGUAUUAAUGAUAACUCAAAUGAGCAUGAAGUUCAACAAAGAUUUAGAUUAUAUUUAUUAUGGUUAUGUGGUGGAUCAAUAUUUUCCGGAUAAAUCUAAUAAUAAGAUUAAUUUAGACAUUUUGAUUGACAUGAGAAAUUUAGAUUUAAUGUCAACUCAAGCAUGAGGAUCAACCACAUUAUCAUAUUUGUAUAAUUGUUUAUGCCGUGCAUCAAUGAAAAAAUCAAAUGAAGUUUGUGGAUUUCUCUCUUUAGUGCAGGUAUACAUAUUUUUUAAUUAAAUAUUUUUUGUAUACUAGUAAUAUGCACUUUUAAAUUCAAGUGCAUUAUAAGUAAUGGUGAAUUUAUUUAUUGUAGAUUUGGGCAUGGGAAAGAAUUAUUCCCCUGCAACCAUUGUCAAAGCCUCUAAGAACCAAUCAACUUGAGGCUUCCACUGCGGUUGCACGUAAAUGGAUGCGACGUAGAAAUUAUCAAAAUGAGGCACGAACUGUAAUCGGUGUGAUUAGGAUUGUACUAGAUAAUCUAACUGAUGAACAGUUUAUUUGGCAGCCUUAUUCGGAAGAUGUUAUUAAUGGAUUGCCUGAGUGGUGUCGGUCAGGACAACGCGUCUGGAUGGCACAGGUGCCACGAUUUAUGGAAUUUAUCGUGAGUGGCACAUGGUUGAUCGUGUUGUGAGACAAUUCAGUUAUUUACAACAUAUUCCUGGACCGUGUACCCAAUUUCCGAAUAUCAUUUUAAGCGUGAUAAACGAUCCAAAAUAAAACAAGAAGAUAUAGAUGCAUUUAACUACAUAUGGGAACAACGUCAAAAUCGUAUAUUUCAACCUCCAUUUGUAAGUGAUCAAACAGAUUACUUUCGUUGGUACAUGAGGCAUACCCGCAUGGUCAUUGGAAAUCCACAAUAUGUUGUACAAAAAGGGUAUCAACACAUGGCAGGAAGACAUGAGGCAUUAGCUAGGGGUCAUGAAAUGCAGUAUCGUCGAGCUCGGAUGAUUGAAAAUGAUGAAAAUCAAUCUAAUGAAAUGAGACAAUAUGUAGAGGAAGUCGCUCGGUUCUACUGUUAAUUUUACUAGUCAGCAAACAAUUGGUUUUGUAACUCCACAGGUUUCAAUAUUUGGUUUUGCGCAAUUUAGAGGAUCUCAAUAUGGUAUUCAACAUGGUAUGCGUGAAUUUCCUAUACAUAAUUCUCCAUUUGGUGGAAGAUUGAAUUUUUCAAAUGUAACUGUGUCCGAUGAUUCAAGAUUUAAUGCUGGGGUUCACAACAUUUAGUUCUUAAUAGACAAAAUCCACCUCGGAGAACAUCUAGGCUACACAAAUCAACUAGAUGUGGAACAGGUAGUCACUAUCAAAUUGAGGAAGAUUUUGAAAAUGAAGAUGAAAAUGAAGAUGUAGAAGAUUCGGAUUCAGAAGAAUAAUUUUUUUUAUGCACCUUUAUUCUAAAAGGCUGAAGAUUCGAAUUUUAAAAUAUGUAAAUUUUGUUGUUUCGUGCAAGUCUGAACAAAGUAA